GGAGAGGUGGCAGAGUGGUCGAAUGCGCCGGACUCGAAAUCCGGUGUAGCGUUAUGCGUUACCGUGGGUUCGAAUCCCACCCUCUCCGCCA
rnacentral:tRNA from 2 species